GAUGAACGCUAGCGGCAGGCCUAACACAUGCAAGUCGAGGGAUAAGCCUUCGGGCUAAGACCGGCGCACGGGUGCGUAACGCGUAUACAAUCUGCCUUUUAUCCGGGGGAUAGCCCGAAGAAAUUUGGAUUAAUACCCUAUGGUAUAAGAGCACGGCAUCGUGCACUUAUUAAAGCUACGGCGGUAAAAGAUGAGUAUGCGUUCUAUUAGCUAGUUGGAGAGGUAACGGCUCCCCAAGGCGACGAUAGAUAGGGGUUCUGAGAGGGAUGUCCCCCACACUGGUACUGAGAUACGGACCAGACUCCUACGGGAGGCAGCAGUGAGGAAUAUUGGACAAUGGUCGGAAGACUGAUCCAGCCAUGCCGCGUGCAGGAUGACGGCCUUAUGGGUGGUAAACUGCUUUUGUAAGGGAAGAAUAAGGAGUACGUGUACUUUGAUGACGGUACCUUACGAAUAAGCAUCGGCUAACUCCGUG
rnacentral:rRNA from 1 species